rnacentral:rRNA from 1 species
GUAGUCAUAUGCUUGUCUCAAAGAUUAAGCCAUGCAUGUCUCAGUACAAGCCAAAUUAAGGUGAAACCGCGAAAGGCUCAUUAAAUCAGUUAUGGUUCCUUAGAUCGUACCCACAUUUACUUGGAUAACUGUGGUAAUUCUAGAGCUAAUACAUGCAAACAGAGCUCCGACCGGAGACGGAAGGAGUGCUUUUAUUAGAUCAAAACCAAUCGGCGUUUAGUAGCAUUUCGGUGUUAUUAUUCGUCGCACUUUUUGGUGACUCUGAAUAACUUUUGGCUGAUCGCACGGUCUUGCACCGGCGACGCAUCUUUCAAAUGUCUGCCUUAUCAACUGUCGAUGGUAGGUUCUGCGCCUACCAUGGUUGUAACGGGUAACGGGGAAUCAGGGUUCGAUUCCGGAGAGGGAGCCUGAGAAACGGCUACCACAUCCAAGGAAGGCAGCAGGCGCGCAAAUUACCCACUCCCGGCACGGGGAGGUAGUGACGAAAAAUAACGAUACGGGACUCAUUCGAGGCCCCGUAAUCGGAAUGAGUACACUUUAAAUCCUUUAACAAGGACCAAUUAGAGGGCAAGUCUGGUGCCAGCCGCCGCGGUAACUCCAGCUCUAAUAGCGUAUA